GCUCAGAAGGGAGGCUGGGAGCUGUGGAAUAUGAGCUGUAUAUUAUAGGUGCCCAGCUCUCUGGUCCUUGUCCCAUUCUGGAUGGGCAGACCUCUUUUGGCCUUAUCCUUGUUCUCGUUCUCCUGCUUGUGGCCUCCAUCCUGGCUUUGAUCCUGCAGAACCGUAGGAUAUUCUCCCCAGCCUUCCCGGCACUGGAGCGGGCGGUUACCACACCCACACCAGGGAAUGCAGGAAAGGAUGAAGGCCAGGAAGGGAAAAGCCUGCAAACAGAGUGCUGAUGGAAGAGAAGGCACAAAGGUCAAUCAGAAUGGCAAGCACUUUGAUGGGAAAACAAGAUUCUGCUACACAGCUGGGGGAUGGGAACCAUUCAGACUUGUCCAGAGGGCAUGGAGGUCACAUGGACACAGCUUGGGGACCAUGCCACUGCUGAGGGAGUGGGAGUCAUAUGACAAAGGAGAUAGGAGUCACCUGGGUGCAGGAAGGUUGGGAUGAGGGGUUGUACAGGUUUCUGAGCUUCCUUUUUGGAGAUGAAGGACUCCAGUGUUCAUAACCUGUUUCACUUCCACUUGUUUCUCUCACACCCUUUGUCUCCUUUGGCCUUUCUCCUUCCUUUGAGGGGUGUCAGUGGCCUUUAACAGAUGGGGAGAUUGGCAGAGACCUGGCUCCCCUUUGCCCACAGGGCAUUUAACUUCCCACUGCCAACUUCCCUCUCUGUGUAUCCCAUAAGCACCCUGCUCCGGCACUUAUUCGCUGGCACAGCGGAUCCUGCAG